UGAGUAAUGUCUGGGAAACUGCCUGAUGGAGGGGGAUAACUACUGGAAACGGUAGCUAAUACCGCAUAACGUCGCAAGACCAAAGUGGGGGACCUUCGGGCCUCAUGCCAUCAGAUGUGCCCAGAUGGGAUUAGCUAGUAGGUGAGGUAAUGGCUCACCUAGGCGACGAUCCCUAACUGGUUCUAAAAAGAAGAACCACCCCCACUGGAAUGGAAAACACGGUCCAGACUCCUACGGGAGGCAGCAGUGGGGAAUAUUGCACAAUGGGCGCAAGCCUGAUGCAGCCAUGCCGCGUGUAUGAAGAAGGCCUUCGGGUUGUAAAGUACUUUCAGCGAGGAGGAAGGCGAUAAGGUUAAUAACCUUGUCGAUUGACGUUACUCGCAGAAGAAGCACCGGCUAACUCCGUGCCAGCAGCCGCGGUAAUACGGAGGGUGCAAGCGUUAAUCGGAAUUCCUGGGCGUAAAGCGCACGCAGGCGGUCUGUAAGUCAGAUGGUAAAUCCCCGGG
rnacentral:rRNA from 1 species